ensembl:snoRNA Gm22490 predicted gene, 22490
UGCACUUGUGUGUGUGUGUGUUUGCUUAACUGUGGACAAAGACUAAAAGCAGGUGUAAAAGCAACAUCUUCCUUUGCAUUCCAGAACUCAUUGCUCAGCAUGUUGUGAUACAAAUAAAAAGUGAUAUA